GCCGGGCAUGAAACUCAUUCUCUCUUUGAGUUCUGGCAUAAAUAAAUAACUUAUGGAUGUUUUUCCUUUUAACAAAUCAAUAAAAGUUUUAUGUUAAAAGUUAAUUGUAUUAUUUUUAAUUCAAAUAAAGUUUAAUAAAAUGUAGUUGAGUACGCCUAUGAGUCUAACCUGAAGUUAGCCGUUCCUCUAAUUUGAUAAUUCUACACAGUUAUCUGUUAUAAAUCGACUCAGAUGAAUAUUCUAUUAUUUAGAUGUACAAUAUAAGGAAAAUACUAGAAAAUUAUGUCAAUUUUAUAUGAUAUAAUCAAGAAGUUCUAUUUCUGUGGAAGGAUUACAUAUGAUACAUUGAACAAAAUUUAAUUAUACUACACAAUUCAUAUUAUUUCUACGGAAAAGGAAUCUUAACCUCACAAAUCAGGAAUUUUAUCCAUUAUCAACGUAAGUAUAGAAAACGGCGGUCGGAAUGGUAUUCUUCGGAAAAGUAUUGUUGGAACUUUAUUCAAUCUGGAAACUAUAAAUCUCUAUUUGGAUAAACAAUGCUAACAACUAAAUUGGCAGUAACACAAUAUUGGAAAAUCUUAUUCAUGUCCAACAAGAUUGAUCUCUAUCACAUUAGUUUCUUUCAGUUAUAAAGUAGCUUAAUGAUUAGGUAUUCUGACAGAUAGUUUAAAAAAAAAGUCACAAUAGCCUUUCUAUAGGAGCAUCUGCAAUCCAUUGUUUAUAUAGCACAGCAUUGAGAUUUAAAGAGAAAAAUGGCAACUGUGUGUAAAGAGCUUGAUGCAGAAGUUUUUCUACAUAUUGGGAGAAGAGCUAUUAAUAGAUCACAAAGUAAUGUAUUUUGAUAAAAUUUUAUUUAAUCUUUUAUCAAUUUUUUGGCUUUACUGCGUAAUACUUGAUUGCGUAAUACAUCAAUUAUAGGUUUCAGAUGAUUCUCCAAAAGUACCAAAAAAAACAGAGAUCAAAUAUUUUUUAUUAAUCAAAUGAAAUUUUAAUAGCCCCCCAUUUCCAUUUGAGAAUUUAAGGGCUAGGUCGCGCCUAUAAUCCAAGUAUGGCGUGGCUUGGCGUCCUUUUGAGUUUUUUAUAGUAUUUAGAAGAUAAAACCGUUUUAAGGAAAAAUGAAUGUGGAAUGGUGAAUGUUUCAAGGCGUUUACCAAAAAAUAACUGAUAUUUAAUUAAAGUGGUAUUGAAGAACUUAUUUAUAAUAAACAUAAAUGUGAUAAAACAAGAUAAUUUGUGGUAAAGAAUUGGAAGAUAUAAUAUCCUUGUUUAAAAUUGGAUAGUUUUGGGAGAGAUUUGAUUCGAUAAAAAAUUUUUGGAGGAACUAAAAACACUUAUGACAACAAGUUGUUGACAAUCAAAAUCCUUUGAAGAUCUGAAGAUUUAUUAAUAUUGACACCUAUUUAUAUAUAAUUCUAGAAAGACUCAUAAUGAAUGUUGAGUUUGGAAAUAGAAAGAAAGUAUAGGAAAAUAAUCAAAACAUUCCAGUUAUACUGGAAAGAGUGAUAGAAGUUUCCAGCCAUAAACCAAUCGCUUUGUUUUUAAGUAAAAAAAAAACUCUUUAAGGUAGAGGAUCAAGAGAGAACAUUUGGCAGAAACAUUUUUAUAUGUAUUUAACAUUAAUUACAGUUGAACUGUAUGAAUAAUAAGAUGAAUUACUCUUCAAAUAUAACUUGACAAUUA